UGUGGCUGUACCGAGCCUGGACGCUUGAUGUCACUGCAGGACCGGGGACGCGGAGGAGCGGAGCCAGCACGGAGCCUCAUCCGCAGGGACCCCCGCCUCCGCAGCGAGACGCAGCCGGAACGGGGUCUGAGAUGCCGGCGCUGCCUGCAAGUAACGGGGAGGUGCAAUGUAUCUUUCUCUCUUGGAACUGAUGAAUUCCAGGACGUGGAAAAUACAACAAAACCAGCCUUGCUGCAGAAAGAAUCUUUGCAAUUACAAUUUUAAGAUACUGGGUUUUUAGGUCCCGAAGCCUUUUACAGAGCUUGCUCAGCAAAUUGUACUGUGAGAUGGGAAAAGAGUCCAGAAGUCUUCUAGAGCCUCUGAUGUUUUUCCUAGCACUUGACAUACAUGUGGGAAGCAGAAGAAAGGCCAAGACAACCUAUAAAGAGACAAAGGAAUGCUUUGAUUAUCGGACAAGCAAGAGAUGUCAAUAUAUGACAGUCUGAUAAAAUACAAAUAUCAAUGCAAAUUGCAAAAUAUAUGCAUGAAUUAGCAAAUUUUUCUUUUUGUCUUUAGCUGAGCACAUUCUUUUAAUCUCUCCUCCUCUACCCAUCCUUAUCUCUUUGUUAUCAAGUAAAAUUUAUGUUUGUACCACAGUUAAGCACUUCUGAAGCAUUUUAAAUGCUGGUAUUUCAAGGUGUCUAGUGGUUUUGUUUCACCAAUUUUACUAGAGGAUCUUUCCCUUUUUUAAAAAUCGGAUUUCAGAGACAAAGGGAAACUCUAUGUUGCACAAAGGUAAAACAGUAAGCCUAUGACAAAGAGUUGCAAAUAACCAUACAGCUCUGAAUUCUGAUGAGCCCAGAAAUUACAUGAUUUUUUUCCACUAAGCAUACUAGAAGUAAGCAUCCAGACAUUUUUCUUUAACAAAAAAGUACUUGAGCAAGGUCAUACCGAGGUCGAAAAGCAAGCUUAUUUAAUGUGGAAACUGGAGCAGCCUGCUCUGCGUGUUCAGAAUACAUAAACAUUCCAGAAAGUGGCAAAUUCAUACAGCCUCUCUGUGUAACAGCUACCUAGAGUGCCAUGCUUUUUCCUGUUUUCAUUCUUUUUUUUUUAUUCACAAACAGUCUCAAGAUCAAAUUUACUGUGCUAAUGUUAAAAAUUUUAUCUAAAUAGAUACAUUUGCCAAGGCCUUUUUAUUUCUAAGGAUGACAUCAGUGACAACUGCUAUGGAUUUUUGUCAGUCUUGAAGGAGUUGGAGUGUUUCUGAUUUUUUCUUGGUGAGUCCAUUUGUAAAUCCAUCUACCACUGCCAUUGUGAUCAAACAAAUUAUCAAAAUAAUGUGAUCAUUAUUUGGCUACGGUAAUUUUCUCCACAGGAUAUUCACCCCCCUCAUUUCUGUUCUCCACACUUUCUUCCACUUCCAAAUCUAUCCUUUUACUGACCUUUCCAUCUUCCAGUUAUUCUUCUGGCUAUUAAAUGUAUUUUUCAAAAGUUUCAGCACAGUCUUCCUCAGAUCUACCUAUCAGAUGUCCUUGCUUACCUUUUAUUUCUAGUUUCCCUUAUUUUUUUCAGUUAUUCUUUGGGUCCAUUAAAGGUUUUUUGGGUGUUGUGUCUCUCCCACUCGCCCUCUCCUCCACACCCCAAAGUUUUCCAUAGUUCUGUAAGACAAAGUCUCCUUUUUUUCAGAAAACACAAAUCCCUUCCAAUACAGGUUUUAUCAGUCAAUUUUUUCUUUGCCACAUGACUGCAUCAAACACUAAAUGAGAAAAGUAUCCAGGCAAGAGAACCAAACAAUAUGUGGAUGAAAUAACAGGAAACAUGAAUUGUCCAAUAUAUUGCAUAAAUUUGGAGUUGUAAAGUCUUUUCCUCUUCCUUGGUUCUACCUACUUUUUUCAUCUGGGAGACAUAAAAUUGGAUCACAAAUUCUUCCUGGUAGAGGGGGUGUCUUUUAUUUGUGCUUUAAUGCACCGAUCACAGCAUGUAAAGAACCACAUGAUUAAACAUAUAAAAUUUCCUUUUUCUUUUAAAUAAACUUUGAAAAGAAUAAUGAAUAACAUCAAAUUAUAUUUUAGCUUCCAGUUUUCAACUGGUAGUAAAAGCCCAUCUAUUGACUUUGCUUUCCUCACCUUUAGACUUAUCUAUAAAUGUCUUUGUGUUGUAACAUUUGCCAUUGAUUUUGGACAUUUCAGAAAUCUUUUUGUAGUAGAUAGACUUUAGUAUAUUGUUGUUGCAAUACAGAACAUGUGUAACAAAUUUUGUUUUUAGCAAAAUGAAACUGAAAUGUUAAAAAAUGAACAUGACUUUUCACCAGUUGAUUCAUGCCCCUUAUUCUUAAGAAGGCUAUGUAGAGAAGUGUUAAAAAGCAACUUGUUUCACUACUGCCUUGCUGUCAGUAAGAUCUACAGUUGAAGAUAAUGGGACAUGAUCGUUUCUGCCAUAAAGCAGCACUUAGCCAUUGUGUAACUGGGUGCACAUCAAAUCUGACUGAGCUCUCCCCACGCACAGAGCGGGGAGAAUGGGUCCGUGGGAUGACUCUGACCACUGGUGGCAACAGUAAUUUGCUUUCUGUAAUCCUUCAAUUUUCUCUACUUUUUAUCUUUCCUCCUUGCUCUCUUUCUUAAGAGUAAAUAAAAGUGAAUUAUUAUUUUGGUUACCAACA